UCCAGACUCCUACGGGAGGCAGCAGUGGGGAAUAUUGGGCAAUGGGCGCAAGCCUGACCCAGCAACGCCGCGUGAAGGAAGAAGGCUUUCGGGUUGUAAACUUCUUUUCUGAGGGACGAAGAAAGUGACGGUACCUCAGGAAUAAGCCACGGCUAACUACGUGCCAGCAGCUGCGGUAAUACGUAGGUGGCAAGCGUUAUCCGGAUUUAUUGGGUGUAAAGGGCGUGUAGGCGGGAAAGCAAGUCAGAUGUGAAAACUCAGGGCUCAACCCUGAGCCUGCAUUUGAAACUGUUGAUCUUGAGUACUGGAGAGGCAGACGGAAUUCCUAGUGUAGCGGUGAAAUGCGUAGAUAUUAGGAGGAACACCAGUGGCGAAGGCGGCUUACUGGACUGUAAAUGACGCUGAGGCUCGAAAGCGUGGGGAGCAAACAGGAUUAGAUACCCCCGUA
rnacentral:rRNA from 1 species